GCCAGCUGGUAGAGUGGCAGAAGAAUUAUACACAAUUAUAGACCUGGCAAUUAAUAGUGACUGCAUCAACCCAAAAUGAGCCUUUCUUUUCUUCCACCCUGGAGAAAAGAAAAUGUGAUGGCAGUUACUGUCUCUGGAAUAGUCUCUGUCACUCUUUAAGAGGCUCCUCUUCUGUAAGGCCUCCGUGCACUUGGAUUCACAGCAUUAACUCUCAAUGCUGUCUCAAUGAAACACACCCAUCGGAACUUAUGAGUUGUGGAAACAUGUACCAAGUUUGA
rnacentral:lncRNA from 1 species